CCUACGGGUGGCAGCAGUGGGGGAUAUUGCACAAUGGGGGGAACCCUGAUGCAGCGACGCCGCGUGGGUGAAGAAGCGCCUCGGCGCGUAAAGCCCUGUUAGCAGGGAAGAAAAUGACGGUACCUGAAGAAGAAGCCCCGGCGAACUACGGGCCCGCAGCCGCGGUAAUACGUAGGGGGACAGCGGUAUCCGGAAGUACCGGGUGUAAAGGGGGCGCAGACGGGGGUGCAAGCCAGGGGUGAAAGCCUGGGGGCCAACCCCGGGACUGCACUUGAAACUGCGUGGCUGGAGUGCAGGAGGGGCAGGCGGAAUUCCUGGUGUAGCGGUGAAAUGCGUAGAUAUCAGGAGGAACACCGGUGGCGAAGGCGGCCUGCUGGACUGCAACUGACGUUGAGGCCCGAAAGCGUGGGGAGCAAACAGGAUUAGAUACCCCUGUAGUC
rnacentral:rRNA from 1 species